AUUGAACGCUGGCGGCAUGCCUUACACAUGCAAGUCGAACGGUAACAGGUCUUCGGAUGCUGACGAGUGGCGAACGGGUGAGUAAUACAUCGGAACGUGCCUAGUUGUGGGGGAUAACUACUCGAAAGAGUGGCUAAUACCGCAUGAGAUCUACGGAUGAAAGCAGGGGAUCGCAAGACCUUGUGCUACUAGAGCGGCCGAUGGCAGAUUAGGUAGUUGGUGGGAUAAAAGCUUACCAAGCCGACGAUCUGUAGCUGGUCUGAGCGGACGAUCAGCCACACUGGGACUGAGAAACGGCCCAGACUCCUACGGGAGGCAGCAGUGGGGAAGUUUGGACAAUGGGCGCAAGCCUGCUCCAGCACUGCCGCGUGCAGGAUGAAGGCCUUCGGGUUGUAAACUGCUUUUGUACGGAACGAAAAGCCCCGGGUUAAUACCCUGGGGUCAUGACGGUACCGUAAGAAUAAGCACCGGCUAACUACGUGCCAGCCGCCGCAGUAA
rnacentral:rRNA from 1 species